rnacentral:tRNA from 1 species
CUUAUCUUAGUUUAUCUAGAAUGAAAGUUUUGGGGACUUUUGGUCUCUAACUGAGAGAUUUGA